UACAGAGGGUGCAAGCGUUGUUCGGAAUCAUUGGGCGUAAAGGGUGCGUAGGCGGCUUUUUAAGUCUGACGUGAAAGCCCAGGGCUUAGCCUUGGAAGUGCGCCAGAAACUGGAAGGCUAGAGUGCCGGAGGGGAGAGUGGAAUUCCUGGUGUAGCGGUGAAAUGCGUAGAUAUCAGGAGGAAUACCGGUGGCGAAAGCGACUCUCUGGACGGUAACUGACGCUGAGGCACGAAAGCGUGGGGAGCAAACAGG
rnacentral:rRNA from 1 species